UACGUAGGGGGCAAGCGUUGUCCGGAAUCAUUGGGCGUAAAGAGCGUGUAGGCGGCCUGAUAAGUCGGCUGUGAAAGUCAAGGGCUCAACCCUUGAAUGCCGGCCGAUACUGUCAGGCUAGAGUCCGGAAGAGGCGAGUGGAAUUCCUGGUGUAGCGGUGAAAUGCGCAGAUAUCGGGAGGAACACCAGUAGCGAAGGCGGCUCGCUGGGCCAUUCCUGACGCUGAGACGCGAAAGCUAGGGGAGCGAACAGG
rnacentral:rRNA from 1 species